rnacentral:rRNA from 1 species
AGAGUUUGAUCCUGGCUCAGGACGAACGCUGGCGGCGUGCCUAAUACAUGCAAGUCGAGCGGACGAAUCGAAAGCUUGCUUUUGAUUCGUUAGUGGCGGACGGGUGAGUAACACGUGGGCAACCUGCCCUGUAGACGGGGAUAACACCGAGAAAUCGGUGCUAAUACCGGAUAACACGAAAUGUCGCAUGACGUUUCGUUGAAAGACGGCGCAAGCUGUCGCUACAGGAUGGGCCCGCGGCGCAUUAGCUAGUUGGUGAGGUAACGGCUCACCAAGGCGACGAUGCGUAGCCGACCUGAGAGGGUGACCGGCCACACUGGGACUGAGACACGGCCCAGACUCCUACGGGAGGCAGCAGUAGGGAAUCUUCCGCAAUGGACGAAAGUCUGACGGAGCAACGCCGCGUGAGCGAAGAAGGCCUUCGGGUCGUAAAGCUCUGUUGUUAGGGAAGAACAAGUAACGCAGUAACCGGCGUUACCGUGACGGUACCUAACGAGAAAGCCACGGCUAACUACGUGCCAGCAGCCGCGGU